AUUGAACGCUGGCGGAAUGCUUUACACAUGCAAGUCGAACGGCAGCACGGACCUCGGUCUGGUGGCGAGUGGCGAACGGGUGAGUAAUAUAUCGGAACGUAUCCAAUAAUGGGGGAUAACUAAUCGAAAGGUUGGCUAAUACCGCAUACGCCCUGAGGGGGAAAGCUAGGGAUCUUCGGACCUGGCGUUAAUGGAGCGGCCGAUAUCUGAUUAGCUAGUUGGUGAGGUAAGAGCUCACCAAGGCGACGAUCAGUAGCUGGUCUGAGAGGACGACCAGCCACACUGGAACUGAGACACGGUCCAGACUCCUACGGGGCUG
rnacentral:rRNA from 1 species